rnacentral:rRNA from 1 species
AACGCUAGCUACAGGCUUAACACAUGCAAGUCGAGGGGCAUCAGGGUAGCAAUACCGCUGGCGACCGGCGCACGGGUGAGUAACACGUAUCCAACCUACCGUUAACUCGGGGAUAGCCUUUCGAAAGAAAGAUUAAUACCCGAUAGUAUAUUUUCUUCGCAUGUUGAAAAUAUUAAAGAAUUUCGGUUAUCGAUGGGGAUGCGUUCCAUUAGGCAGUUGGCGGGGUAACGGCCCACCAAACCUACGAUGGAUAGGGAUUCUGAGAGGAAGGUCCCCCACAUUGGAACUGAGACACGGUCCAAACUCCUACGGGAGGCAGCAGUGAGGAAUAUUGGUCAAUGGACGAAGGUCUGAACCAGCCAAGUAGCGUGAAGGAUGACUGCCCUAUGGGUUGUAAACUUCUUUUAUAUGGGAAUAAAGUUCUCCACGUGUGGAGUUUUGUAUGUACCAUUAUGAAUAAGCAUCGGCUAACUCCGUGCCAGCAGCCGCGGUAAUACGGAGGAUGCGAGCGUUAUCCGGAUUUAUUGGGUUUAAAGGGAGCGUAGGUGGACUGGUAAGUCAGUUGUGAAAGUUUGCGGCUCAACCGUAAAAUUGCAGUUGAUACUGUCAGUCUUGAGUACAGUAGAGGUGGGCGGAAUUCGUGGUGUAGCGGUGAAAUGCUUAGAUAUCACGAAGAACUCCGAUUG